GGUACCCUAUGAAUCUAGUGGAAUCACUUCUGCACAAACUUGACUACUGAAAUCAGUGUGCGGAAAUGCUUCUGCUACAUUUUUAGGGUCUC
rnacentral:pre_miRNA from 10 species